rnacentral:lncRNA from 1 species
AGCCACCACCCCCAAAUAACACCUCCCAGACCAUCUUCCUCUCCACGCCUCCCAACCCCGUCUUCUUCGUUUCCCUACCCAACAAACGACCUCAACCAGCGGUGCCACAUCUCCCUCCUUCAUCUCCAAUCACGAACUAGACGACUCCACCCAGCCCCGUUGCCGAACAGCCACCAAAUUCGCGGCAUGUCUAGCCUAAAAAUCAUGCACACACACACGUAAACAUAGGGAGAGAACAAGAGUGAAAAGAUGAACUAAUUUUCUCAUCUCUAAUCCACAUAGAGGAAACGGAUAGAAACAGGGGCAGGGUUAGCAUUUCUCUUUGCUCUAUGGAUUGUUUACAUUGCUUUAACCUUGCCGCGAGACUAGCUUUUGCGUUCACUAGUGGCGAGAUGGAGUUUGUUUGAGUCAGAGUUGAAUUCACUGAUUUUGAGUCGCUGUCGAGGUUUGGAGUCACAUUUUGCAGAAUCGUUGUUUCCGGUUUGAGGUCCGUUUUGCAUCUGUGGUUCAAAUUUCAAUUGUGUCACUUGUUGUAGCCAUUUUGGCGUCCAGAAGUUGUGAAGUUGAAAACUCUCAUUAAUUGGCAACACUAGGUUCAAUUCUUUCCUAUCUCUUUUAAUUUCAUAUACAUGGUUUUGAUGAUUGAGUUGAUAUGGUUUGAUUUGUGCAUAAGUUUGAAUCUGUAUAGCCGAUACAUGGGUUUUGGUUGCUCUGUAAAGGAAAAUGUCCUCUUCUUACUUUACUGUCAUGUUGUAAAUAUGGACAUUUACCUUAUAGUGCAAAGGUAGAAUUGCAAUCUUCAUGUUCUACUUGAUUUAGGAAAAUCAAGUUAGAUACCGUAAAGAUAAGACUUGCGCCAUUGGUAUUCCAAAUGAUAUUCAAAUUAAGUUGCUGGCCAAAUACUUGUUAUAGGAAAUGUUGGAGUGAUUUUAUGUCUUUUCCUAGAACAUGUUUUCUGGAUAGUUUACACCCUUACUGCGCAAAUGCUGGUGGAUUGAACGUAGUUAAGAAGCUGCAGUUAUAGAUUUUUUUUCUUUCUUUCGUAGUUGCUCUCCGCGGAUUUGAAGUUGUUCAUUUAGCUAUUUGCCCGUAUGUUUGCUCGAAUUAGUUAUAGCUGGACAUAAUGGCUUGCUAUUCAUCAACUGAUUUUUAAUAACAACACUAGGAUAGUGUGUCACUAAUUCAGCAAGUAGACAAUUAAAAAAUAGAAAAUGAGAUUGGUAAUGGAAGUUGCACUAACUAAUUAAUUAAUAAGGGAGGGGACACUUGUAACGAGAAAGGCACUGGUUGAUUUUAGGGGAUUGAAAUGGGCAUUACUAGUAAAAUAAGAAGGCACUAGGGUAGUGGGAUAAUUAAAAACUGAAAAGAUAAGUUGUUAGUGGCAAAUGCACUAAUGGAAUGCCCACUUUAGAGAGCUGGAAAUCAGAAUAAAAGGGAGGUAGAACACAAGAAAAAGGGAGCAAUCUGAAUUUGUAAGAAAAAAAACCUGAAAAAUAGAGAGGUCAAGGGAGCUUAACAAUCUGACGGAGAGCAAUAGAGAGGGACAACCUUGGACAUUUUGAAAACCUGAGUGAGGAAAUUGAGAAAUCCAGAAGAAAUGAUAUAAAAGGGUAGAAAACUGUAUUGUUGGUUUAAGUUUGAUUGUCUGAUCUCUCUUAGCUCACUCUUCUUGAACUGUUUUCAUCAAUUUGAAGAGCUAAAUUUAGUUUGCAUUCAAGUAAUUGGACCCUGCUUGGUGUGGUUUUGUUGAUUGCGUUCCAUUGAUAUAUUGUUGGUUCUAAAUUAUGAGUGUUAAGUUGGUCCUCUUUAGUUAUUCCUGGGUUCAUUUGUGCUUGCUGAACAUUGAUUCUUGUUGCUGCUGAGUCUGCUAAAUCUCACCUCCCUCUCUGUUUUCCUCUUUCCAAGUAUAUCUUGAUCCUAUGGAUAUCAUUUGAGGUGUAAACUUGAAUCAUGAAUUAAGAAUGAGAAAGCUAGUCUACACCCUUUCUUCUUUUAAUAUACUAUCACUAUGUACUUUUGAGUUUUCAAUUAGUGUAUUCUGCCCAAAAGGGGGUUUGUAAUUAAGAGUUAAAUCACACAGUUUUGUGUAACUACUUUCCUCCUUAUUGUGACUGUUGGACGCUAUAGCUACUCUAUAAACUCGUUGUUUUAGAGUUUUGUUCAAUCAAGUAUUCUGCUUAAAUCUUAUGAGUUUAGGAAAUGAAUGAAUAUUUUCAUGAUGGUAUGAUUGUUGUAGUGAAGUUAAGUUGUGGUUUAUGGUUUCAUUUCAUUUUCUUGUUAAUGGAUUUAUCAUGCUAUCCAUGGGUCUCCCUCUUUUAAUUUCAUUUGGUCUAAUAUUGCUUGUUUGUUGCAUUGAAGUACCGCACCCAAGGUGAAAGGAAUGACUUUUUCCUAUAUAUUUUUUAUUUGACUAGUACAUGAGAUUUAAUAUUUUCUAGAAGUGUUUAAAUGUUGAUGGCAUGAAUUUCAGUGGACAAAACUCACUUCUCACCAUUGUAAACCGAUAUAUUUUCAUGGCAACCACAAGAAUCUGUUCUCAUGUGAAAAAAGGGAUUGGCAAAACUAAGAAGAAAGAAAGGAUUGAAGUUGUAUAGAGGUGAUUAAAAGCCUAGUCUCAUUUCUUUUGGCAUGAUCCAUACGAU